AUUUAUGUAGUUUAACUAUUAAAACAUUACACUUUCACUGUAAAAAUAAAAAUAUUUCAUAAAUA
rnacentral:tRNA from 1 species